UAUGGUACAGCCUCCUGUCUCACUAGGAGUGGAAGAGUCCCCAAGCUCCUCCCCAGAAGCCAUGGCCUGCUCACCUCUCACCUGUGUGGUGCUGUAUUUCCCACAGGUAGCACAGCCCAUGUGCCCAGCCCUAGGCCAGGUGUCCAGCUUGCGUGGCACAGUUCCCCUGUGCCCCUCUCCCUCGAAGGUGGCACAGUCUGCUGCGCCCACACACCCUUCUUGCACCUGCCAGGUGGGAGGCCCAGUGCCCCACCCCUGCAGGUGGUCCAUCCCGCCGGCCCCUCCUCGGUGAUGCUGCCACAAGGUUGGUACAGCCCCCCGCGUCCUCUCUCAGGAGCCGCAGUCUGCCGCCUUCCCCCGCCCAACAUCUACCAGCUGGGCGUCCCAGUCCCCGCGACGCCCUCCCCCAGAGGUGGCCCAGCCCGCCCACCGAGGCGCCUCAGCCCUGCCUCGCACCUGCCAGGUAAGUGGCGCAGUCGACGUAACCCUCGCGGUAGGGGUCGCACUUCUCGAUGGCGGUGGCGCCGUCACUGAGCGUGGUGGCGAAGAUUGCCGCGCCGUGCUGCACCAGCGCCAUGCAGAUGGCCGUGUCGUUGCAGGACGCCGCGCAGUGCAACGGUGUCCUAGGCGAGGGAGGCAGGCGUGAGAGGCCGCGCUGGGGCCCGCAGCGCCUUCCCCGCCCCACGCCGGCCGCGCGAGGUCAGGACUCACCAGCCGUGGCUGUCGGGGGAGUUGACGUUGGCACCCGCCGCGAUUAGGAAGUCCACGAUGGGGUAGUUGGCGCCGCAGAUGGCGUUAUGCAGGGCGGUGAUGCCCUCCUCGUUGGGCUGGCUCGGGUCGUUCAUCUGGACGAGCCGGGGGACGGAGAGGCUCAGUCCCGCGGCUGCUAUCCAGCGUCUGCCGCCCCCACCCCGCCCGCCCUUCUGUCCGGCAGCACUCACCUCCUUCACCGCCUGCUGCACCACGUCCAGCUCCCCGGUCAGCGCGGCGUCCAGCAGCAGCACGAGCGGGCUGAGGCGCGCGCGACGGACCUUGCGCGGGGAGCCGGCCUUCCGCAGCACCGAGCGCAUCUCCUGGGGGACAGAACCGGGGCUUCAGUGGCUUGGCGGGGAUUGCUAAUAUACCCAUUCCUCAGAGCGGGGAAACAGAGGCUCAGGGACCAGGCGGCCACUCCAGGUCAUCCAACUAGACAGGGCUGAGAUUGGAACCCAGGAACGUACGUACACAUAGCCUGAGUCCAGAGGGCCAUGGGAAGGAGGGUCCCUCAGUUCUAUAGCCUCAGGUUCCCUGCAACACUCAGGGAAUCGGGUGAUUUUGGAAUCUUGGGCCCUGAGACCUGAGAGGAAGCUUGGAGACCACGAGGUUGACGAUUGUGGAAGCCAGAUAUUCAAUCCAUAGUUUCAUUUCUUUUAUGUAUUAAAAAAAAAAAUGCUAGGAAGCACACCUGACAAGAUGUUACCAAGUGUUAAUUUCAGAUGUUUGGAAUUAGAAUAUAUAUUUUUAAAUUAUGUACUUUUAGUUAUAGAAAUUUAUUCUAAAGAGAUAAUUAGUAAUUUAGGAAAUUAGAAUAUUUAUCAUAUUAUUCCUUGUGCCUUCUUAUUUUUGAUUUUCAAGUGUCCUACAAAAUUCACUUAUUCUGAGCAUACAGCAUUUGUGAUUCUGGUCUUCGAUGUCAAUGAUUUCAAGAUUCUGGAAUUUGAAGAUCCCACGAGCCACCCAUUUAAAAAUUCUCUGAUGCUAAGUUUCCAAUAUGUGUGAGUCCAGAAAUGCUAAGUUGUGCCAUUUCAAAUUGCUGAGGACCCAGGACGUUGCAUUCCCAAGAUUCUAUGAUUGAGAACUUGAAUAUUUCAUGGUGAGAAUUUCAUUCCAAAAGAUUGGAAGGAAAUACUCAAAAUGUUAAUCGUGGUUCUCUCUGAAUGCUGUUAUUUGGGCCUCUUUAUUCUACUUUUAUCUAUUUCUUCCUAGUUAUUAUGUUUGUGUGUUCCUUUCUAGUGGAAAAUGUUCACUUAAAAUAAAAUUCUGUAUUAUAACAUA